AUGGUUUUGAUUUUAAACAGGAAAUUCAGACCAUACUAUGCACAAACUCUGAGUUUCCCAGUGAUAAGUUUCUCAGGAAAAUUUAGUCCUUUUGAGCCCCUCAUUCCUCGGCAGUCUGGUAAAAGCAAGGAUGUAGAUUCCAGCAAGGACAAUUUCAGGAAGAAAGAACAAGCGACUAGCAGCUGCCAUAAUUUGCAAGCACCACGUACUGCAAGUGCCACACGCAGAGGCCUAACUAAGAAAAGUUCAGGCUAUUGUGAGUGCUGCAACAUUGUCUACAAAGACCAGUAUGAGCACUUGGAGUCUGAAAUGCAUCGUUCUUUCAUUCAAAAUGACAGUAACUAUGCUGUAGUAGACCAACUAACAGCUGCCAUGGUUGCUAGCUUUGUUUGUAAACCAAAUCUAGAAGUGGAUCCAACGCUGAUCAAGUCAUCAACAGGAUUCUCUCAAUUACAAUUGAGUAACUUGACUCCAAUGGUGGAGAGUUCUGUCAGCGAGAAUGAAAAAUCUCUUCAGACUACACUUGUUCAAGAAUGUGAUAGUCUACUGGCAAAUGCUGACAACAGAGGACACCCCUUUCCUAAACCUAUCCAAAAUAUGCCUGGUCAACAACAUACAACCUUGCAUCAUACAAUGCAAAACAACUCUCCUGAUCCUCUUGAAAAUGUCAAAUUAGGCCUUUACAUCAGCUGUACCUCAAAGGUUCAGGACUUUCAAUCUGGUGUUUUCUGCAUGGAUAUAGUCCCACAUCACAGUCCUCCAAAAUCCCAGUCAAUAGAGAAGAAACCCAAGAGACUAUCUUCUGUCACACCCUCAGAAGCUCGAUCUAAAAUGCUCACUCUAAGCUCUUCUGUAGACAACAAAAUCCCACGCACCAUCACUGGUGGUAAAAAUCUUCCUGAAACUCAGGAACGAUGUGAAGGUGGUCAAGUUCUACAUGUAUUGCAUAUGCAAAGUGGUCUUAUAGGUGGUGUUCCUAACACAUUCAACUCUCAAAAUCAAAAACAUGAUUGGGAUCAAGGUUUAAAAAUAUUCUCAAACACAACUAAGAUGCUACUCCAGCAAGGUGAAGAUGGUAAUUCUGAAAGUUGUGGCCAGUAUGCGUUGGACCAUAGAAAGCUGCCUUCAACAAAACCAUCACUGAAAUCAGUCAAACAUAUUGUUGGGACUCCAGAGUUUGGAAUCUCUUACUUUUCAUUACCAAAUUUUUUACCAUUCCCACACUUGUCAGAUUACUCAUUUUCUAUGGUUAACUUGAAAAAGCGCUGCAGGUCCUUCACUCAAACUCCAAAACUUGCCAAGAGAAGAAAGAUUAGUCAAAAUGAAAAGCCAAACCCAAUUCAGCCGGUUUGCAGUGCUCCCUGGAUAAGACAGUACUCAUCUGUACUUUCCACCAUGUCAUGUUUACCAGUCUCCAAGGUGGGUUUUACAACAGAGAUGAAUAGUCAAACUGGGGGUAGCAUGUUAGCAGCCCAUAAGUCAUCACUGAAUGAAUCAUCUCUUGUGAAUCAGAUCCCAACGAGGCCUCCCCUAAAAUAUUUUACUCCCAGUACCCACUGUUUGCCUCAUCAAGUUGACCAACAGGACAAUGCUGCAAAGAAACCCUGUGUUAAGCAGUCACAUGAAUUGUCUCCAAUCAAAGAUCCAGUGGAAUCCCGAAUAACCACUUACUCAUCUGAUUUGGAACCUCCUCAGUUGGUUCCUUUUUUCCAUGAAGACCAUCAACUCCAGCGCCAUCGGUUUCAUGAUCCUCCAGAACUGUUACCCUUUUUUAUCCAGACACCUGAAGAUACUUCCCAUACAUCAGUAAGUAAAGCCACAAACAGCUCGUUCCUGUCACACUCCGGAGCCUCUGUUUGCAUUGAAUCAGCUCUCCUCCCUAACCUCACAUGGUCCACAGCCUCCUCUGAGUCGGACUGGGAUUCUGGCCUCUUGUCGUGGUUUACGGCUGGAGUUCCUCUUCAGGCUAAAGGGGGACAUGAUGACCUGGGUCUGUUAUUACAAAAGCCACAUACUGGCAUGCAGGAUGGGAGCUAUACAUCACGGUUGUGCUCCAUACUGCAACCCUCUUGAUUCACAUUAUAAGGAUUGAGUUCCGUUAAUCCGACAACUGCGACUGUUAAUGAAUUAAAUCCUAAAGCAGUUCUUUAUUCUCCUUUUUCAAUAGCAAUCAUUUUUUCAUUUCUACAGUUCGAUUAAGAUGACUACCACCAAAACGUGUGAAAUAAUACUUGAAUUAAUUGUGUUUUUUUUUUUUUGUUUGGUUUUUGUUUUUCAUAAAGAAGAUUUUAUUAUAGGAGUGUGCCUAACUCUGCAGCUAAUGUAUAAAUAGCUUUUUUUGGAUAAUGAAACCAUCUUACAUCAGUAUUGAAUUAUACUCUCCAUUCCACAGUGUUUGCAAUAUCUCACCAAAACCAAGAAAACAAUAAGUCUUAAUUACCAGCUGGCAAGUUUUUUUUUUUCCCCUUUUUCUUCGAGUGACCUCUAUGACUUCUCUUAUGGCUCUCUCUUGCCCUGAGUAUUGGCCAUGACUUUUCAGCAGGAAUAUCCGGGAACAUGGGCUGGUAUUGAGAAUUUAAUGAGGCUUUGCUGGAGGGGCAUUAUCCAAUUAGUUUAAGUGCUGUGUCUGGCAUCUCUCCAGUUUAGAGGCAGUGUCGAUUGUAGAACAAUGCCAUGGUGGUUUUUGGAGAACAUGCAGGAUAGGAUACACUGUGAAGGCAAAAAUGCCCUAUGAAGGUCUUUGAGGUACUUUGAGGUCAUUUUUAAAAGACUUUUCUCAUUUCCUGUAAAUGUGGAUUAGUGGAUGUGGCGGCAUGACUGGAACAGUGGAUAGUGUUUUAAUUAUUUGUUGUCAGUUAAUGUUUUAAGGCAUUUUUAGUGACGUUACUGUGUGCGUUCCUAUUAUAGAAGUUCUGAAAGGAGUAUACAAAGCUUGUACCACAGACAUCCAUGUAAGCAUGAUAAGAAUCUUGUGCUUAAAAGAUUUUCCAUAAACACUGGAAAUUAGCUUUAUCAAGGCCUAAGGACAGUUAAACAUGUUUUAAGACAAAAUCGUGAAUAGAAAGAGUUUUUAUAAAUAAUAAAAAGGUAUUACAUUUUUAUAAUUAUUUUACU
ensembl:lncRNA